rnacentral:rRNA from 1 species
GAUGAACGCUAGCGGCAGGCCUAAUACAUGCAAGACGAACGGCAAGAUUUUUAGCAAUAAGAAUCCUAGAGUGUCGUAAGGGUGCGUAACACGUAUGCAAUCUGCCCUCAACAGGAGGAUAGCUCCCCGAAAGGGGAAUUAACACUCCAUAAGAUCACAUAAUGGCAUCAUUGAGUGAUUAAAACUGAGGUGGUUGAGGAUGAGCAUGCGCAUGAUUAGUUAGUUGGCGGGGUAACGGCCCACCAAGACGAUGAUCAUUAGGGGAACUGAGAGGUUGAUCCCCCACACUGGCACUGAGAUACGGGCCAGACUCCUACGGGAGGCAGCAGUAGGGAAUAUUGGACAAUGGGUGCGAGCCUGAUCCAGCCAUGCCGCGUGCAGGAAGACGGCCUUCUGGGUUGUAAACUGCUUUUGCCAGGGGAUAAAACGUCCAUGCGUGGAUAAUUGAAGGUACCUGGUGAAUAAGCCACGGCUAACUACGUGCCAGCCGCCGCAGUAAUAC